rnacentral:rRNA from 1 species
AGUGAACGCUGGCGGUAGGCCUAACACAUGCAAGUCGAACGGCAGCACAGGAGAGCUUGCUCUCUGGGUGGCGAGUGGCGGACGGGUGAGGAAUACAUCGGAAUCUACUUUUUCGUGGGGGAUAACGUAGGGAAACUUACGCUAAUACCGCAUACGACCUACGGGUGAAAGCAGGGGACCUUCGGGCCUUGCGCGAUUGAAUGAGCCGAUGUCGGAUUAGCUAGUUGGCGGGGUAAAGGCCCACCAAGGCGACGAUCCGUAGCUGGUCUGAGAGGAUGGUCAGCCACACUGGAACUGGGACACGGGCCAGACUCCUACGGGAGGCAGCAGUGGGGAAUAUUGGACAAUGGGCGCAAGCCUGAUCCAGCCAUACCGCGUGGGUGAAGAAGGCCUUCGGGUUGUAAAGCCCUUUUGUUGGGAAAGAAAUCCAGCUGGCUAAUACCCGGUUGGGAUGACGGUACCCAAAGAAUAAGCACCGGCUAACUUCGUGCCAGCCGCCGCAGUAA